GGCAAUUUAUUGAAAAAGUGCAAAUGGAAGUGAUAGAUGUACAUUUACCAUAUCAAUUAUAAAAAUAUAUCAUAUUUAAUAUAUCAUGCAACAUCGUUAUUAUUGUGAUUAUUAAAAUAAAAAACUGACAGGUGUUGUUCCAUUGAAUAAAUAUUUGAUAAGUUCCAUUUAAACGUUCUAUUUAAUAUAUAUUCGUAUGCGAUUGUAAAUAUCGUAACAUAACCAAUCUAUUCAAAAGACAAAAUGAACAUCACAAUAGAGAAAAUAACUGGAUAUGUAAUAUACGCGAUAAACAGAAUUAGCUCGUAAUGACGUCGUAUAAAAGUGGCAAAGGAAUAAUUGCAACCCAUUUUAAUCAGGUCGCAGUAACAUUUUACAAUAAGCUAACAUAAAUUAUCAUGUUAAUAUAUUUUAUGCUUCAUUAUACCGAAAAUACAAGUUCGCUUCGUAACAUUUAUGUUUCAGUACAAAUUGAAUGAAGAAAUAUUAAAUUAUAUUCCUAUGGGUCUUCGAUUCUAUGGGAUGCAAGCGCAGCAGGAGUGAAGGGCAUCUGAGAUCACUAAUCAAUAUUUAAUCAACUUUCCAGGAGAAUAUUAUUCUCCCGACAAAUCAAGGACAUAUGUAUCAGACCGCUAAGGGGGGUUGACGUUCUCUCUCUAUUGAUAUAAAAGACGAAACGCCGUUUAUACGAGUGUGCGAGUGUUUACACGCGCAUUCAUGUUUACUGUAUUCCCAUUGACGUAGAUAUUAAAUUCUUAUCGUCAAUGAUAAUUUUUUCAUCACAAAUGUUUUUUUUUCAGUAAAUCAAUCAAUUACUUAUUACUUUCUAUUUAUCCGCAUAAUAUUUAUAUAAUUAUAUGAUAAUAAUUAAAUAUUAGUCAAAUGAAUAUAAAUAUAUAUAUAUAAAUAAUAAUAAUGUAAAUAUUUAAAUACUAUCAUCUAUAUUUGUUCUUUUAAUUUGUUUUUAAUUUUAAGAAUUUAAUUAUUAUAAUUUAAUAAUUAUAAUAAUUGAAAAUAUAAAUUUUAAUAAUGUAGCGAUGAAAUGAAAUUACAUUUUUAUAUUUUAAUCGUAACAAUUUUAUAUUAUUGCUAUAUUUCGAUAUCGUAAUAUUUUAAAUAUUUUUAUACAAAUUUUUUGCAAAAUAAUUUUCAUAAUUUUAAUUAUGAUAUUACAAUUACAUAUGUUCCAGUUUCUACUUCUACUAUUGCAACAUAAUAAAGUUGACAGAGAACUCUACGCCAAUGGAUAAAUUCGUUCCUAUGUAUUCUUAGUAUACAUACUAUGGGCGAUUUGGUGUUGCGCGGCAUACUAUGUUCAUGUAUGUACCCAGGAAGAGAAUUCCCUCGGGAUGAGACUCGGGGAAGAGGGUCGAGUACCAGGACUGCUCAUCGUGGCCCUUUCGUGAGAACAAGUGCGAAACAAGUGUCGCACAGGUUCCUAGCACCUAUCUAAGGUCGGUCUCGUGUCAUGUUUAGUCAUGUAAUUUCUGUAUCUGCAGAUAAAUCAUAUUUCAUGCUUUCGAGUUCCUUUAUUUAUGUAUCCUGUAUCCGUUUGAUGUUUGACUAUCUUGUGCAAUAGAUAAAAAAAUGUAAAAAUAUAUUAAUUCCAUGGGAAAAUUAUGAAUAUUUAAAUUGUAAUAUUUUAUAACGUGAUAUAUAGAGCACAAAUGAGAUUACUUAUUUUAAAAUGAUUAAAAUAUAUAAAUUCCAAAAUUUAAAUAAAUAUUUUUAUAUUUAUAAUUUUUAAGAAUUCUUGUUUAAAAAAAAAUAUUAUUUUUCUACAUCAAAUAUAUUUUAAAAUAUCUACAUAUUUUUAAAAUGAAAUAUAUGUUCAUAUUAAUAA